AGUUGUUGCAGUUAAAAAGCUCGUAGUUGGAUUUUGGGGACGUACGGGGACUGGUCUGCCUUUCACAGGUGUGUACUGUCUUCGCGUCUCUUCUGUCUGGUUUGCUCCAGUCUGCUCUUAAUUGAGUGGGUUGGUAGCUCCAGACCGUUUACUUUGAAGAAAUUAGAGUGUUUAAAGCAGGCCCGAGUGCUCUGAAUACAUUAGCAUGGGAUAAUGGAAUAGGACUGUGCGCCUAUUUUGUUGGUUUCUAGGUGUGCAGUAAUGAUUAAUAGAGAUAGUUGGGGACAUUCAUAUUCCGUGGUCAGAGGUGAAAUUCUUGGAUUCACGAAAGAUGAACUAAUGCGAAAGCAUCUGUCAAGGAUGUUUUCAUUGAUCAAGAACGAAAGUUAGGGGAUCGAAGACGAUCAGAUACCGUCGUAGUCUUAACCAUAAACGAUGCCGACCAGGGAUUCGGAGACGUUACGUGGAUGACUCCCCCAGCACCUUAUGAGAAAUCAUAAGUCUUUGGGUUCCGGGGGGAGUAUGGUCGCAAGGCUGAAACUUAAAGGAAUUGACGGAAGGGCACCACCAGGAGUGGAGCCUGCGGCUUAAUUUGACUCAACACGGGGAAACUCACCAGGUCCAGACAUAGUAAGGAUUGACAGAUUGAGAGCUCUUUCUUGAUUCUAUGGGUGGUGGUGCAUGGCCGUUCUUAGUUGGUGGAGUGAUUUGUCUGGUUAAUUCCGAUAACGAACGAGACCUCAGCCUGCUAAAUAGGAGACAUAACCUUCUGCUUGGGUGAAGCUCUUGGUGUCGGACUGGUUUGCCAGUUCGCAGCAGGAGUGGAUCCUUGACGAGUUGUGUUCUUACUUCUUAGA
rnacentral:rRNA from 1 species